rnacentral:rRNA from 1 species
UACGGAGGGUGCGAGCGUUGUCCGGAAUCAUUGGGCGUAAAGGGCGCGUAGGUGGCCCGGUCAGUUCGUGGCGAAAGCGCGGGGCUCAACCCUGCGUCGGCCAUGAAUACUGCCGCGGCUGGAGCACUGUAGAGGCAGGCGGAAUUCCGGGUGUAGCGGUGGAAUGCGUAGAGAUCCGGAAGAACACCGGUGGCGAAGGCGGCCUGCUGGGCAGUUGCUGGACACUGAGGCGCGACAGCGUGGGGAGCAAACAGGG